AUUUGGGGUUGGGGUUAGGGCAGAGGAACUAGGAAGAGAAAAGGGGACUGUCCUAGUCCAUUUUGUGUUGCUAUAACAGAAUACCUGAGGGUGAAUAAUUUAUAAAGAAAAAAGGGCUAUUUGGCUCACAAUUCUGAUGGCCAGAAAGCUCAAGAUUGGGCAUCUGUUGAGGACGUCAGGCUGCUUUCACUUAUGGUGGAGGCAAGGGGGAGCUGGCUUGUGCAGAGAUCACAAGGACUGGCUGAAAUCAGUGGGAACCCGUAUGGCUGACAGCAAUCCGCACAGAACGAGCUUGCUGAUGUCACAGCCUGAAUUUCCACCUGCUGUUUCAUACUAACGCCACCAAAUUUGCACAUGCAACCCACGAAGAACCUUGGAGAUAACCAGACAUGAUUAAGGACUUUCUAGACUUCUCCUUUCUUUCCACCAAUCACCCGCUAAUCCCAGAAUCCUCCCCCUAAACCUUUUCUAAUAAAAGUACUGCCUUAAGACCAGCAAAGAGAGACAGAUUUGAGCUGGAUUCCCGUAUCCUCGUGGGUCAGCUCACAAUAAAGCUUUCCUUUUCUCAAAA